rnacentral:rRNA from 1 species
AGAGUUUGAUCCUGGCUCAGGAUGAACGCUAGCUACAGGCUUAACACAUGCAAGUCGAGGGGCAGCGGGAUUGAAGCUUGCUUCAAUUGCCGGCGACCGGCGCACGGGUGAGUAACGCGUAUCCAACCUUCCGUACACUCAGGGAUAGCCUUUCGAAAGAAAGAUUAAUACCUGAUGGUAUGAUGAAAUUGCAUGAUAGCAUCAUUAAAGAUUAUCGUGUACGAUGGGGAUGCGUUCCAUUAGGUAGUAGGCGGGGUAACGGCCACCUAGCCUACGAUGGAUAGGGGUUCUGAGAGGAACGGUCCCCCACAUUGGAACUAGAGACACGGUCCAAACUCCGUACGGGAGGCA